GUGUCAUGGAUAGCUCAGUUGGCUAGAGCGUGGUGCUGAUGAUGCCAGGGUUGCAGGUUCGAUCCCCAUAUGGGACA